GAUGAAGAACGCAGCGAAAUGCGAUAAGUAGUGUGAAUUGCAGAAUUCAGUGAAUCAUCGAAUCUUUGAACGCACAUUGCGCCCCUUGGUAUUCCAUGGGGCAUGCCUGUUCGAGCGUCAUUUGUACCUUCAAGCUUUGCUUGGUAUUGGGCAACGCGGUCCGCCGCGUGCCUCAAAUCGACCGGCUGGGUCUUCUGUCCCCUAAGCGUUGUGGAAACUAUUCGCUAAAGGGUGUUCGGGAGGCUACGCCGUAAAACAACCCCAUUUCUAAGGUUGACCUCGGAUCAGGUAGGGAUACCCGCUGAACUUAAGCAUAUCAAUAAGCGGAGGA
rnacentral:misc_RNA from 1 species